AGAAUAUUCCCAACAAAAUUUGAUCCAGCGCCUGAUAUAAGUUUAGCUAGUAUCAGGCUGGUCACACUGGACGAAAAGGACUCUAUUUUUGACCCGGACACAAACCGAUUUAUCGAGGCAAGAUUGGUUGAGGAAGGGGGUAGAAUGAAAAAUGGAGAUUAUGGUUACAAUUUCAAG